rnacentral:rRNA from 1 species
GGACGGCAGCGCGGGAGCAAUCCUGGCGGCGAGUGGCGAACGGGUGAGUAAUACAUCGGAACGUGUCCUGGAGUGGGGGAUAGCCCGGCGAAAGCCGGAUUAAUACCGCAUACGCUCGGGAGAGGAAAGCGGGGGAUCUUCGGACCUCGCGCUCAAGGGGCGGCCGAUGGCAGAUUAGCUAGUUGGUGGGGUAAAGGCCUACCAAGGCGACGAUCUGUAGCUGGUCUGAGAGGACGACCAGCCACACUGGGACUGAGACACGGCCCAGACUCCUACGGGAGGCAGCAGUGGGGAAUUUUGGACAAUGGGGGCAACCCUGAUCCAGCCAUGCCGCGUGUGUGAAGAAGGCCUUCGGGUUGUAAAGCACUUUUGUCCGGAAAGAAAACUUCGCUCCUAAUACGGGUGGAGGAUGACGGUACCGGAAGAAUAAGCACCGGCUAACUACGUG